GCUGUUGGGGCUGUUGCUGCUGCGUCGCCGGCGGUUGAGGCUGCUGCUCCCCGUGCCCGUUCUCGUCGCCCGCGCCUUCCUCUUCGUCCCCGAGCUCAUCUUCCCCUUCCUGGAAACCCUGAUCGUCGCCGUUCUCGUCUUCCGAGGCGGCCUCCUCCUCCUCCAUCGGGCCCGAGUCGGCCGCCCCCGCGGCCCCGUUCUCCUCUCCUAGCUCCAUCUGGUCGCCGUCCAGAGCGGAGAUUCCUUCCUCCUCCUCUUCCUCUUCCUCCUCCUCUUCAUCGCCGCCGGCCGCGGCCUCCUGCUCGAGGCCUGCUCCCGAGCGCCCAGCGGAAUCCCCGCCCAGGUCUAGGCUGCCGUUCCCGGGCUCCAUGGCGGGGCGGCCCCCGGCCUCCUCGUCGUCCAGCGCAGCCUGGAGUCGCUCCAUGAGCUCGGCCUUGAGACCCUUGUCAGAAAGGCGUCGCUUCUUGAGCUCCUCUUUCAGCUCCGACACCUUCAGCUUUUUUACAUUAACAGGCGAGGAACUCAUGGUGAGGGCCCCGAUUCACCGCUAGGCGCUGCCUCAAACUCGGCUCCGCUCACUCGGCCACUGGUGGCGGCUGCUGCGGCUGCUCCUCGGCCCGGGCGGCGGCUGCGGCUGCGGCUGGAGAUGGGUUCGUGCUGCAGAGCGGAUCCGCCUGGUGUCGAACGGCGCCAAUUCCUUUCACCGAGUUCGCGAGGGAGACGCGGAGACUCGCCUGGCGCGAGCGAGCACGCAACGUCCUCUCGCAGGAGCGGCGCCGCGCACGUAAUAUAGGCGCCCCGCCCCCUGCGCUGACGGGAGCACUGCGCAGGAGGAAAGCCGGAGCGCGCCCGCGCUCGGCCCCGCCCAUUACCGUACUUACCUCCCCGCCCCCACGCCGAACCCGGGCCGAGAGCGCGGUGGAGGCCGCGCAGUGCGCUUCCAAUUGGGACUGAGCAAAUGGAGGAAAAGGAAACCGCCUUUCAGUUCAACCGACUCACUGCAUGAUAUAUUGGCCUUUCUGGGUCUUUGGUGGCUAUACUCGUUUGGCUUUUCUCCUUCCCAGCUUGGAGGCUGCUUUAUCCAAAUGCUUUCUUCAGUCCUCAACUUGGCGUUUCAACCCGAAUCCGCCUUUUCUUCCAUCUUAGAUCUGCCUUCUUAUGUGUUUCUCCAGCUCUUCGUUUAAAACUCCUUCAAAUCGUAUUUCAGUUUUGACUGGUAUAGCAUACAUUGGCAACUGUUACACGCAGCGGCUCUUUUCCUCAUAAUACCGUAUUUGGUUUAAUUUGUGUAAGUCCUGCCUUGCGAAUUGGAUUUUAAGUUCGAGAAGGGCAAGGGCAGAACCGUUCUUUUGUCUGUUCCACACCCCGGGUGCGGGGCCUGGGAAGUAGAGGCUUUGCUUACUACUCCAUACUGCAAACCUUAGUGUACCUGCCUUUGCAGGGCAGCUAUUCUCAUGCUCUUAAUAACCCUGAAUAAACCUCAGAAUUGCAUUUCCAAGUUUUCUGUAGCUACC
rnacentral:lncRNA from 1 species